UUUCUACAUAAUAAUGCAUCACGAUUAAUCUCAAUCUUCACAAUAACCGUAUUAAUAAAACAAGAACUAUUUCUUGCAAUAUCUUGGAAAUUAGAAGGAAGAGGUGGAAGGAAACCAAAAGUGAAGUUCCCUGGCCUGCUCUCAAUUUUUUUUGUGAAACUUGAGUAAAAGGGUCAAAAAAAGACUUUCCUUUCAUAGUGUUGGAGAUAGUUUUCUUUUAAGUGGAUAAUUCAGAAAUGGAGAAAUGCAAGAUACAAACAAGGAUAAUGGACAUAUAUGGGACAUCAGAUACAAAUCCUCUCUCCAAUUCUUAUUCAAAGAAGACAAUUAAUUGACCUGUGGCUGUUUACCCAAGGAACUGUGCACCUGGAACUGCCCAGAUGUUUUGAAAACGCAGGGUUCAUGAUGUUGAUACCUGAAGACAUGAAGUGUCAUCGUAACCUCCACAUUAGAGUGGGAGCAUGUGAGAAAAAGGCUCUCUGCAGUCACCAAAACUUCAAUGAAAGAUUGCCAGAUGCAACAAUCACGUAGUGGAACUAUAGAAAAGUGAAGGAAGAGAGAUGUAGUCCAGCAUGAGAUGAAGCCAAGCAAGAAAAAAAGACAGCAGCAGCAAAUUCUCAGAGUAACAGCUAAGACAAGAGAAUUGGCAUUGACUGAAAUAGACAGGAGGUGAUACGAUUAGGCUUUGUCCUGCUGUAAAGAUACAGAAAAUGUGGAAGUGACUUUGAAAUGGGUAACAGGCAGAGGUUUGUACUUCCUAGAGACUUGGAGAGCUCAGAAGACAGGAAGAUGUGGGAAAGUUUGGAACUUCCUAGAGACUUGUUGAAUGGCUUUGACCAAAAUGCUGAUAGUGAUAUGGACAAUAAAGUUCAGGCUGAAGCGAUCUCAAUGGAGAUAAAGAACUUGUUGGGAACUGGAAUAAAGGUGAUUCUUGCUAUGCUUUAGCAAAGGUAACCUCUUCUCCCCAUUACCCAGGAAUUAGCAAAGCGUCAUUUUGCCCCUGCCCUAGAGAUCUGUGGAGCUUUGAACUGGAGGGAGAUGAUUUAGGGUAUAUGGCAGAAGAAAUUUCUAAGCAACAAAGCAUUCAAGAUGUGACUUAGGUGCUCUUAAAAGCAUUCAGUUUUAUGUAUUAACAAAAAUAUGAUUUUGAAUUGGAACUUAUGUUUAAGGGGGAAGCAGAACAUAAAAGUUUAGAAAAUUUGCAGCCAGACAAUGCAAUAGAAAAGAAAAACCAAUUUUCUGAGGAGAAAUUCAAGCUAGCUGCAGAAAUUUGCAUAAGUAAUGAGGAGUCAAAUGUUAAUUUCCAAGACAAUGGGGAAAAUGGCUCCAAGGCAUGUCAGAAAACUUCAUAGCAGGUCCUCCCAUCACAGGACCAGAGGUUCAGGAGGAAAAAAUAGUUUCAUGGGCUGUGGCCAGGGCCUUGCUGCUUUGUGCAGUUUUGAGACUUGGCGUCAUGCAUCCCAGCUGUGGCUAAAAGGGGCCAAGAUACAGGUCAGGUUUCAGAAGGUGCAAACCCUAACCCUUGACAUUUCCACAUGGUGUUGAGCCUGCAGGUACACAGAAGUCAAGAAAUAAGAUUUGGGAACUUCACCUAGAUUUCGGAGGAUGUAAGGAAAUGCCUGAAUAUUGAGGCAGAAGUUUUCUGCAGGGGUGGAGCCCUCAUGGAGAACCUCUGCUAGGGCAGUACAGAAGGAAAUGUGAGAUCAAAGCCCCCACACAGAAUCCACACUGGUGCACUGCCUAGUGGAGCUGUGAGAAGAUGGCCACCAUCCUCUAGACCCCAGAAUGGUAGAUCCACCAACAGCUUGCACUGUGUGCCUGGAAAAGAUGCAGAUACUCAACGCCAGCUCAUGAAAGCAGCCAGGAAAGGGGUUGUAUCCUGAAAAGCCAUAGAGGUGGAACUGCCCAAGGCCAUGGGAGCCCACAUUUUGCAUCAGCAUGACCUGGAUGUGAGACAUGGAGUCAAAGGAGAUCAUUUCAGAGCUUUAAGAUUUGACUGUCCUGCUGGAUUUCAGACUUGCAUGGGUCCUGUAGCCCCUUUGUUUUGGCCAAUUUCACCCAUUUGGAAUGCAUGUAUUUACCAAACGCCUGUACCACCAUUGUAUCUAGGAAGUAACUAACUUACUUUCGAUUUUACAGGAUCAUAGGCAGAAGGGACUUGCCUUGUCUCACAUAAGACUUUGGACUUGGACUUUUGGGUUAAUGCUGGAAUGAGUUAAGACUUUGGGGGACUGUUGGGAGGCAUGGCUGAUUUUAAAAUAUGAAAGGGACAUGAGAUUUUGAAGGGGCCAGAGCAGAAUGAUAUGGUUAGGCUUUGUGUCCCUACCCAAAUCUCAUCUUGAAUUGGAAUCCCCAUAAUUCCCAUGUGUCAAGGGAGAGACGAAGUGGAGGUAAUUGAAUCAUAUGGGUGGUGUCCCCCGUGCUUUUCUCAUGAUAGUGAGUGAGUUCUCACAAAAUCUGAUGGUUUUAUAAGGGGCUCUUCCCCCUUCACUUGGCACUUCUCCUUUCUGCCACCUUAUGAAGAAGGUGCCUUGCUUCCCCUUCACCUUCCAUCGUGAUUGUAAGUUUCCUGAGGCCUCCCAGCCAUGCUGAACUGUAAGUCAAUUAAACCUCUUUCCUUUAUAAAUUAUCCAGUCUUGGGUAUGUCUUCAUUAGCAGUGUGGGAAUGGACUAAUACAGAAGGUAACCUCUUCUCCCCAUUACCCAGGAAUUAGCAAACAUAUUAACGAGAGCACCAGUGGGCUCCUCCAGGUAGGUAGUAUGGAUGUCACUAUACUCUUUUUGGAUUUUAAAAUAAAGUCAGCCCAAGAAAACUAGAGGACAGGGAGGUAGCAGGGUAAUCCAGCCUGAUACCAUUCAAACAUAGUUUACAGUUUAUUUCUCCAGCAGCCAUUACAUAUUGGUAUGAACAAAUUAGAUUCAUGAGCCAUUUAAUUGAAAAAAAUAUCACUUUAGAUAAUAUACUUUCGCUGCAUUCCCUUCAUCACAUUAAUUGUCCUCCAAAAAAUGGGUGUUAUUCCGUAG
rnacentral:lncRNA from 1 species